GGGUGGACCCGCCGCAUCUCCUUACGGCGUCUCCUCUCGUCCCAGCCCGACAGGCCUGAAGAUCGUGGCUGUGAGCCGCCGGGAGAAGUUCGUCCGCAUCUUCAACCCGUCGCAGGAGAGCACGGCCGACCUGAGCGGCAUGGUGCUGAAGCAGCUGGUGCGCGGCUUCCCGGAGCGCCUGUACCGCUUCCCGCCGGGCACGCUGCUGGCCCCGCGGCACCACGUCACGGUGCGCCCCGGCCCGGGAGCCCGGCCCCGACGGCCCGGCCCGGCCGCCCCUCACCCGCCGCUCCGCGCCCUUCCAGGUCUGGGGCGAGGCGACCCGCAGCGCCAAGAAGCCGCUGUGCGCGUCCUCGGGCCGGGUGCCCGUUCCCCUCCUCUCCAUCCGCGGCUGCGCGACGCUGCUCCUGAGCCCCAAGGGCGAGGUCGGUGCGGGCCCCCGGUGGGGCGGCCGGGGCUGGGGUGUGGGGGGUGACCGACGCGCCCCGCAGGUCCUCAGUGAGCACCGGAUCCCACGCCGCGAGACUCCGGCCCCGAGGGUCUUCGCCGACGGCACCGACUUGUCCAUCGACCGCUUCCCGCUCCCUGAGGCCGGGCCCGGCGCCGACACCCGCAAGCCGCCGCGCCCACCUCGACCCCUGCGCAAAGGCCGGGUGCGGGAGCCCCGGGUCAGUCGCCGGAGACCAGGGUGGGGACCGCAGGUCCCCGGGAUCUGGCCUCCCUCCCCAGGCCCCGCCCCAGCAGAAACGGUCCCUGGCAUCCCCGCGCUAGGACGGCCCCCAACUUCCCCAGGCCCCGCCCCGGCUGCCCCCUAGUCCUCCAGUACGCCCCGCGGCCCCUGCCCCGCCGCAGGUGCGGAGCCCUCUAGGGCCGCCUUUCCCGGGCCGGCCGCCGCCCUCACGACCCUCGCCCCACCAGGACGCGGGGCCUGCUGCCCCCAAUGAGCUCGGGGAAGCUCUUCCACGAGCGGGAGGGGCCCGCGCGGCCCGAGACCCCGGAGAUCCCCGCGCCGCAGCACCUGCCCGCCAUCCCGGGUGACCCCACCCUGCCGUCGCCUCCCGCAGAGGCCGGGCUGGGCCUGGAGGACUGUCGGCUCCGGAAAGAGCACCGAGUUCGGGUGUGCCGGAAGAGCGUGGACCGUAGCUGCCCCCUGGUGGCCCUGUCGGUGCAGAGCACGGCGGAGAGCAGAUUCGGCUUCCGCUUCCUCAGCUGCCUGCCGGUCACCGCGGACACCUGCCGGUCACCGCGGACACCUGCCGCGGCGCCUAGGGGCGGAGGAGCGGGGCCCCUAGAGGUGGGACCGCGAGGGAGGGCGCGGGCGGGCGCUGGGGCUGGGCGGGCCGUGUCCGCUGCAUCAUUUAUUGAACCAACGUGGCCUACAGAGUAAACCGCAUUUCUGUACA
rnacentral:sRNA from 1 species